GCUUACUUGAUAUUAUUCUCGUGAGAAUUAGGUUAUGAGAGAUCGUUUUCAGCUAAAAAAUGAUCUCUUUUUUUUUAAGAA
rnacentral:sRNA from 10 species